GUGAGGAAUAUUGCGCAAUGGAGGCAACUCUGACGCAGCCAUGCCGCGUGCAGGAAGAAGGCGCUACGCGUUGUAAACUGCUUUUAACCGGGAUGAAACCCCAGGACGUGUCCUGGGUUGACGGUACCGGAGGAAUAAGCACCGGCUAACUUCGUGCCAGCAGCCGCGGUAAUACGAAGGGUGCAAGCGUUAUCCGGAUUCAUUGGGUUUAAAGGGUGCGUAGGCGGAGCGUUAAGUCAGUGGUGAAAUCCUGCAGCUUAACUGUAGACUUGCCAUUGAUACUGGCGCUCUUGAGUGCGCUUGAAGUGGGCGGAAUGUGCCGUGUAGCGGUGAAAUGCUUAGAUAUGGCACAGAACACCAAUUGAGAAGGCAGCUCACUAAGGCGAUACUGACGCUGAGGCACGAAAGCGUGGGGAUCGAACAGGAUUAGAUACCCUUGUAGUCC
rnacentral:rRNA from 1 species